GGCAGGAGGUGGAAACGUUCAAGCCGAAGCUUACAUUGAGGAUUUGGCGGAAGUUGGGCAGCUCUUUCUCUCCUGUUAAUGAAGUCUCAAAUGAACUGAAGCUUGCUCAAGUAUGGCAGCAGGGAAGUCGACGCUGCUGUUGCAAUGGAAGAAGAUGAUGGAUAAAUGCCAAGGUUUACCUUAGAGCUUUGGUAGGAACAUGGGGGCUGUUCUUCGAUUCUCUUUUCGGUGAAAUGAGUUGAGAGUAAGGAACUGCAUUUGUUGGCUGGCUGAUACUAGAGAAAAUGAUGUUGCACACUUGAGUGAUGAGUGGUGGGAAAAAUGAUGAGUGAUGGGGGAAAGUGGUUGGGAAAGAGUGAAUGGUUGGGGUGAAAAAUGAGUGGUCAAAGAUUGAUGGAAAUAAAAAGAAAAAAAAAUAGAGAAGAAUUAAUGAUGUAUUUUCUAUGUCUCGGUGAUUCCGUAACUGAAAUAAAAUACGGGCUUCGAUUC